rnacentral:rRNA from 1 species
AGAGUUUGAUCCUGGCUCAGGAUGAACGCUAGCGACAGGCUUAACACAUGCAAGUCGAGGGGCAGCACAGGUAGCAAUACCGGGUGGCGACCGGCGCACGGGUGAGUAACGCGUAUGCAACUUGCCUAUCAGAGGGGGAUAACCCGGCGAAAGUCGGACUAAUACCGCAUGAAGCAGGGGCCCCGCAUGGGGAUAUUUGCUAAAGAUUCAUCGCUGAUAGAUAGGCAUGCGUUCCAUUAGGCAGUUGGCGGGGUAACGGCCCACCAAACCGACGAUGGAUAGGGGUUCUGAGAGGAAGGUCCCCCACAUUGGUACUGAGACACGGACCAAACUCCUACGGGAGGCAGCAGUGAGGAAUAUUGGUCAAUGGGCGCGAGCCUGAACCAGCCAAGUCGCGUGAGGGAUGAAGGUUCUAUGGAUCGUAAACCUCUUUUAUAAGGGAAUAAAGUGAGGGACGUGUCCCGUUUUGUAUGUACCUUAUGAAUAAGGAUCGGCUAACUCCGUGCCAGCAGCCGCGGUAAUACGGAGGAUCCGAGCGUUAUCCGGAUUUAUUGGGUUUAAAGGGUGCGUAGGCGGCCUUUUAAGUCAGCGGUGAAAGUCUGUGGCUCAACCAUAGAAUUGCCGUUGAAACUGGGGGGCUUGAGUAUGUUUGAGGCAGGCGGAAUUCGUGGUGUAGCGGUGAAAUGCAUAGAUAUCACGCAGAACCCCGAUUGCGAAGGCAGCCUGCCAAGCCAUUACUGACGCUGAUGCACGAAAGCGUGGGGAUCAAACAGGAUUAGAUACCCUGGUAGUCCACGCAGUAAACGAUGAUCACUAGCUGUUUGCGAUACACUGUAAGCGGCACAGCGAAAGCGUUAAGUGAUCCACCUGGGGAGUACGCCGGCAACGGUGAAACUCAAAGGAAUUGACGGGGGCCCGCACAAGCGGAGGAACAUGUGGUUUAAUUCGAUGAUACGCGAGGAACCUUACCCGGGCUUGAAUUGCAACUGAAUGAUGUGGAGACAUGUCAGCCGCAAGGCAGUUGUGAAGGUGCUGCAUGGUUGUCGUCAGCUCGUGCCGUGAGGUGUCGGCUUAAGUGCCAUAACGAGCGCAACCCUUAUCGAUAGUUACCAUCAGGUUAUGCUGGGGACUCUGUCGAGACUGCCGUCGUAAGAUGUGAGGAAGGUGGGGAUGACGUCAAAUCAGCACGGCCCUUACGUCCGGGGCUACACACGUGUUACAAUGGGGGGUACAGAAGGCAGCUACACGGCGACGUGAUGCUAAUCCCUAAAGCCUCUCUCAGUUCGGAUUGGAGUCUGCAACCCGACUCCAUGAAGCUGGAUUCGCUAGUAAUCGCGCAUCAGCCACGGCGCGGUGAAUACGUUCCCGGGCCUUGCACACACCGCCCGUCA